ACAUAAAAUAAAAGGUUUUUCUCCCAAAAAAAAAAAAACACAUAACACGAUUCUGGAAACACAAUUUGCUCUUCUUGCUCUAACCCAAAAUUGGAUCCAUGGAAAAACCAACUCUACUCUUCUUCUCCAAAUUGAAUCCGUUCAUCCCAAAUUUCUUCUUCUUCUCAGAUUCAAUUCACCAUAAACUCAGAAAUUGAUUAUUAGAAAACGCAUUCAAACUUAGAAAACGCGAUUCAAACUUAGAAUUGAUCUCCCAAAACCCUAAUCCUUUCCGCUGAGUUGAUUUUGGUCACAAAUUCAGAAAUUGAUAAUCCCUUCAGUUGUUAUUCAUUCCAAGAAAGCGGUGAACCCUAGCCUCAUUCAUAGCAACGCCAACUCUUUCGUCUCGUCACCGAAGCUCUCUGAAACACAUUCACGAAAAGCUCAUUCCGUCUCUGAAACGCAUUUACGAAACGAAGCUCAUUCCCUCUUUCUGAACACAUUCAUUCAUUCCCUCUCUCUGAAACGAAGCUCCUUCAUGGCCUGAAGCUCAUUCACGAAGGGAAGCUCGAUCUCAUUCCUUGAGGUUCAAACGAAGACAAUCGAAGCUCACUCAUGUCAGUAUGUCACUGUUGGAGCUGAUGAUGGAACUUUGUUCAUUCAAGUACAAAUUUUUACUUCAGUUUCGGAGAAUGGGGUUAGCCCAACUGUGUUAGGCGCAGAUUCCUUGUCAUGCAAAGGUCACUCAUUCGUUCUUUUCAAAACCUCCGGAUACUUGUUCUUAAGAAGGGUUCUAAAUCAGAUGGUCAAAUAUGAUUCCUAGAGGGAUGUGAUGUUGCAUUGCAAUUACAUGUCUCUGUAACUAGCUGAACAUGAAAGGAACAAUGUGAAAUUCUUUUUAUUCUGUUGAAGCUAUAGACAAAGUUUGCCUGCAUUCAUUUGAGUUACUAAUUAAUUUUGUUUUCCAUUCCUUGCACAUUUUGCUCUUUUAUGAGUAUAAUCAUAAAAUCAGGUUCUAUGUGCAAAAUGUUUGUUAUCUAAUUAGCUUCAAUAGUUCCUCCCAAAUUCCAAUAAUCAUUUCAUUUUUGGACUAAUUAUAUUAUAUAGUACUUAUAUUGUAAUUCUUUUUAUUUUAUUUUAGAUCAGGCUGACCUUAAAAGGUCGAUAUUUUUGGCUUAUGGGGGCUUAUUUCGAGUUAUAUAUAUACAAGAAAUUUGGAAGGUAGCUAGAGAGGACGUCAAAAUACUACUUUAUAAUAUGUUGUAGUCUCAUAUCUUAGUAAAGUUAAUCUUAGUUUUAUGAUGUAUUGUUAUGUUUUUGUUAAGAAAUCAUAGUAAUAAUGUAUUGUUCAUUAGGAUAUUUAAUGACUAUAUACAUGUUCAACAUAUUAUAACUUGUACUGCUAUAUAAUAGUAAUUUGAUUUGAUAUGUUUUCAUAUCUUAUUUUGGUGAUAUU